rnacentral:rRNA from 1 species
CGGGAAUCUUCCGCAAUGGACGAAAGUCUGACGGAGCAACGCCGCGUGAGUGAGGAAGGUCUUCGGAUCGUAAAGCUCUGUUGCCAGGGAAGAAUCCUCCGGGGAGUCACUGCCCCGGAGUUGACGGUACCUGAGAAGAAAGCCCCGGCUAACUACGUGCCAGCAGCCGCGGUAAUACGUAGGGGGCGAGCGUUGUCCGGAAUUAUUGGGCGUAAAGCGCGCGCAGGCGGUUUUGUAAGUCCGAUUGUUUAAACCCGGGGCUCAACCCCGGGUCGCAAGGGAAACUGCAAGACUUGAGUGCAGGAGAGGGAAGCGGAAUUCCACGUGUAGCGGUGAAAUGCGUAGAGAUGUGGAGGAACACCAGUGGCGAAGGCGGCUUCCUGGCCUGUAACUGACGCUGAGGCGCGAAAGCGUGGGGAGCAAAC